rnacentral:rRNA from 1 species
GACGAACCGUGCAAACGUUAUUCGGAAUCACUGGGCUUAAAGGGCGCGUAGGCGGGCCGCCAGGUCCGGGGUGAAAAGCCUCCAGCUCAACUGGAGAAGUGCCUUGGAUACCGGCGGCCUCGAGGGAGGUAGGGGCGUGCGGAACUUCGGGUGGAGCGGUGAAAUGCGUAGAUAUCCGAAGGAACACCGGUGGCGAAAGCGGCGUGCUGGAUUCCUACUGACGCUGAGGCGCGAAAGCCAGGGGAGCAAACGGG